UACGUAGGGGGCGAGCGUUGUCCGGAGUUACUGGGCGUAAAGGGCGCGCAGGCGGUCUGGUAAGUUUGGAGUGACAGUGCUCGGCUUAACUGAGCAAGGCCUUCGAAAACUGUCAGACUUGAGCACUCAAGAGGGACAUAGAAUUCCGGGUGGAGUGGUGAAAUGCGUAGAUAUCCGGAGGAAUACCAAAGGCGAAGGCAGUGUCCUGGGGAGUGUCUGACGCUCAGGCGCGAAAGCUAGGGGAGCGAACAGG
rnacentral:rRNA from 1 species